rnacentral:lncRNA from 1 species
CAUCUAGUGAUCUGUAUAAGACUUUCAGUCUGAUGGUGACUCGAAACUAGAGUGCUAUAUGGUGGAUUGCCGAAAGCUGUACAGUCCAUCCCGAAACCUCCAUGUGGCCACCUCCUCGAAGGUCUGACAGACAGCCUCCUCUUCUGAGGAGUCUCGAAUCGAUAGUACCCUGACAAGUAGAAGAAACUAUGUAUUAAUAAAUAGAAUACAAACCUAUCGUGAAUUUAAAAAUUAAACAUCUUUUACUUACGAAGAACAUCUCCCAGACUGCAUCACGAGCCCCCAAUGGCCAACUAGAGAACUCAUUCACCAACCCCGACAUCAAUCAUC